UAACCACAGUAGAACUUCUUCUAUCGCAGUUGAUCAUUUUCUGGAUUUGGGUGUACUGUGUGUCAAGUUGCCUGUGCCCAAAUAGAUCAGUCAACUAAAGAACUUGGCGUGUUUCAGCUGGCCUAUGAGCUCAUUUAUGGAAAGUCAUCCGUUUGUUGAGACCAGCCCAAAAGACCCUUAGGAACUUAGAAUACUCCUACCGACUUUGAAGACCAUAGCCCCAAAGCUGGGCUGUGAGAUGGAGCAGCAAAGAAGAGUAUCAUUGUCAAAGCUCAAGUUCCAUCAGAAUGAUAAAGAUAUAGCGCACUCACGUAAAUGAGACACAGCUGGGAAUGGAGCUGCACCUUGAAGAGCUGCUGAGGAUCAUCAUUGCUUUUUCUUUACGUGGCUGCAUGAUCCUUCUUCUAUGCAUCAUUUUGCAACUUGGGAAUAAAUCCAGAGCGCUAGAGGUAAAGACCUGCUUCUGGAGCUGCAAAUUCAGAUACCUUCAGGGGCCACAGAAGUAUUUCAAAUGUCAGAGGCAGUCAAGUGUGCAUCACCUAAAGGCCUUCAGAUUCAAAUUAAAAAACAUACCCUCCAUACCAAUGAUUGCUUGCAUGUCUUUGGUUUUGUUUGCAAACUUUGGCUUCACUCUUCA
rnacentral:lncRNA from 1 species